GUGUGACUGCGUACCUUUUGUAUAAUGGGUCAGCGACUUAUAUUCUGUAGCAAGGUUAACCGAAUAGGGGAGCCGAAGGGAAACCGAGUCUUAACUGGGCGUUAAGUUGCAGGGUAUAGACCCGAAACCCGGUGAUCUAGCCAUGGGCAGGUUGAAGGUUGGGUAACACUAACUGGAGGACCGAACCGACUAAUGUUGAAAAAUUAGCGGAUGACUUGUGGCUGGGGGUGAAAGGCCAAUCAAACCGGGAGAUAGCUGGUUCUCCCCGAAAGCUAUUUAGGUAGCGCCUCGUGAAUUCAUCUCCGGGGGUAGAGCACUGUUUCGGCAAGGGGGUCAUCCCGACUUACCAACCCGAUGCAAACUGCGAAUACCGGAGAAUGUUAUCACGGGAGACACACGGCGGGUGCUAACGUCCGUCGUGAAGAGGGAAACAACCCAGACCGCCAGCUAAGGUCCCAAAGUCAUGGUUAAGUGGGAAACGAUGUGGGAAGGCCCAGACAGCCAGGAUGUUGGCUUAGAAGCAGCCAUCAUUUAAAGAAAGCGUAAUAGCUCACUGGUCGAGUCGGCCUGCGCGGAAGAUGUAACGGGGCUAAACCAUGCACCGAAGCUGCGGCAGCGACGCUUAUGCGUUGUUGGGUAGGGGAGCGUUCUGUAAGCCUGCGAAGGUGUGCUGUGAGGCAUGCUGGAGGUAUCAGAAGUGCGAAUGCUGACAUAAGUAACGAUAAAGCGGGUGAAAAGCCCGCUCGCCGGAAGACCAAGGGUUCCUGUCCAACGUUAAUCGGGGCAGGGUGAGUCGACCCCUAAGGCGAGGCCGAAAGGCGUAGUCGAUGGGAAACAGGUUAAUAUUCCUGUACUUGGUGUUACUGCGAAGGGGGGACGGAGAAGGCUAUGUUGGCCGGGCGACGGUUGUCCCGGUUUAAGCGUGUAGGCUGGUUUUCCAGGCAAAUCCGGAAAAUCAAGGCUGAGGCGUGAUGACGAGGCACUACGGUGCUGAAGCAACAAAUGCCCUGCUUCCAGGAAAAGCCUCUAAGCAUCAGGUAACAUCAAAUCGUACCCCAAACCGACACAGGUGGUCAGGUAGAGAAUACCAAGGCGCUUGAGAGAACUCGGGUGAAGGAACUAGGCAAAAUGGUGCCGUAACUUCGGGAGAAGGCACGCUGAUAUGUAGGUGAAGUCCCUCGCGGAUGGAGCUGAAAUCAGUCGAAGAUACCAGCUGGCUGCAACUGUUUAUUAAAAACACAGCACUGUGCAAACACGAAAGUGGACGUAUACGGUGUGACGCCUGCCCGGUGCCGGAAGGUUAAUUGAUGGGGUUAGCGCAAGCGAAGCUCUUGAUCGAAGCCCCGGUAAACGGCGGCCGUAACUAUAACGGUCCUAAGGUAGCGAAAUUCCUUGUCGGGUAAGUUCCGACCUGCACGAAUGGCGUAAUGAUGGCCAGGCUGUCUCCACCCGAGACUCAGUGAAAUUGAACUCGCUGUGAAGAUGCAGUGUACCCGCGGCAAGACGGAAAGACCCCGUGAACCUUUACUAUAGCUUGACACUGAACAUUGAGCCUUGAUGUGUAGGAUAGGUGGGAGGCUUUGAAGUGUGGACGCCAGUCUGCAUGGAGCCGACCUUGAAAUACCACCCUUUAAUGUUUGAUGUUCUAACGUGGACCCGUAAUCCGGGUUGCGGACAGUGUCUGGUGGGUAGUUUGACUGGGGCGGUCUCCUCCUAAAGAGUAACGGAGGAGCACGAAGGUUGGCUAAUCCUGGUCGGACAUCAGGAGGUUAGUGCAAUGGCAUAAGCCAGCUUGACUGCGAGCGUGACGGCGCGAGCAGGUGCGAAAGCAGGUCAUAGUGAUCCGGUGGUUCUGAAUGGAAGGGCCAUCGCUCAACGGAUAAAAGGUACUCCGGGGAUAACAGGCUGAUACCGCCCAAGAGUUCAUAUCGACGGCGGUGUUUGGCACCUCGAUGUCGGCUCAUCACAUCCUGGGGCUGAAGUAGGUCCCAAGGGUAUGGCUGUUCGCCAUUUAAAGUGGUACGCGAGCUGGGUUUAGAACGUCGUGAGACAGUUCGGUCCCUAUCUGCCGUGGGCGCUGGAGAANNNNNNNNNNNNNNNNNNNUGAGGGGGGCUGCUCCUAGUACGAGAGGACCGGAGUGGACGCAUCACUGGUGUUCGGGUUGUCAUGCCAAUGGCACUGCCCGGUAGCUAAAUGCGGAAGAGAUAAGUGCUGAAAGCAUCUAAGCACGAAACUUGCCCCGAGAUGAGUUCUCCCUGACUCCUUGAGAGUCCUGAAGGAACGUUGAAGACGACGACGUUGAUAGGCCGGGUGUGUAAGCGCAGCGAUGCGUUGAGCUAACCGGUACUAAUGAACCGUGAGGCUUAACCUU
rnacentral:rRNA from 1 species